AAAGGAUACCCGUGGGGGAGAGCUUCUUGGGAGGCGGGGCGCGGUGUGCCAGCUGCCAGUGGCAAAGGUUGAAGUUCCGAUGGGGAAAUUUUUGUUCAGCACAUGAGAUAAUUUUCUGUGAUAAGUUAUGCUUAGGUCGGCUCAGCGAGAACAUCCUGCUAUUUACGGGAGUUGUGUGGCAAGCAAAUUUCCUGGGCGUCUGCUUUUUUUUUUUUAUUAUUAUUAUUUUUUUUUUUUUUAAAAACUGUGGAUCUAUGUACAGCUAUUGACUUUUACAGCUUUGCAAAUUGAUAUGCAAGGGGUGCACAGGACGAGGUGAUAAAAAGUUGAAACCUGGCGACAGAGAGGAUGCUCAUGUCUGACCAUGAUAUGAAUGCAGGAUGUCCCAGGGGGCUGGCUCAGGGAAGCACAGAGCACAGGGUGAUGAAUGAAGCCUCCGAAGCUUGACCCCUAAAAAGAAUAGCAAGAAAUACAUUAUUUGACAUUUUAAGUGGACUGACAGAUUUCUGCAAUGAGGUGACCUGCUCAGUGGAUGAAGACAGAGCAGUGGACACUGCUUUAUCCUGGAACAUUUCAAGAUAAUAAAG